GAUGAACGCUGGCGGCGUGCCUAAUACAUGCAAGUCGAGCGAACAGAUGAGGAGCUUGCUCCUCUGACGUUAGCGGCGGACGGGUGAGUAACACGUGGAUAACCUACCUAUAAGACUGGGAUAACUUCGGGAAACCGGAGCUAAUACCGGAUAAUAUAUUGAACCGCAUGGUUCAAUAGUGAAAGACGGUUUUGCUGUCACUUAUAGAUGGAUCCGCGCCGCAUUAGCUAGUUGGUAAGGUAACGGCUUACCAAGGCAACGAUGCGUAGCCGACCUGAGAGGGCGAUCGGCCACACUGGAACUGAGACACGGUCCAGACUCCUACGGGAGGCAGCAGUAGGGAAUCUUCCGCAAUGGGCGAAAGCCUGACGGAGCAACGCCGCGUGAGUGAUGAAGGUCUUCGGAUCGUAAAACUCUGUUAUUAGGGAAGAACAAAUGUGUAAGUAACUACGCACGUCUUGACGGUACCUAAUCAGAAAGCCACGGCUAACUACGU
rnacentral:rRNA from 1 species